UCAAAAAUCCCAUUACUUUUGCAAGAUUUAAUUUGCAUUAUAUUUAGUGAUGUAUUCUCUUUUUUCAUAUCCUUUUCACCAGAAAUUAAAUAUUACUAUAACUAGGCAUCAUCACAUUUGAUAGAUGUAGUGCAUUUGGUAAAAGAAUUCAUCAAGUAUUAAGUUGCUUAUUCUAAACUGGGAAUAGUUCAUUAUUUUCUUUGAUGCUGGCCUCAUUUGUGCAUUCUUAAGACCUUAUGUAUACAUAUACGCAGGAUCACACAGUGUAAUUUUUUCCCUUUUUCCUCAACUUGUUCUCUUGUGUGUAGCUGUUGCUAACUUUCUUACAUCAUUGUUUCAUAUCUCAUCUACCUUUCUGCAAACCAAUACAUGUGGUGGUUGGUAAACCAAUUAUGUUUAAAAAGAAUCCGCAACUCACUCCGGAAGAGGUAUGUUCACAGGUUAUCUAUCACCAACAUAUUGGAAUCUGGUUUUGGAUAGCUAUAACAUAAAAGUCAAUAGAAUAAUAUUAAGACCAUGAGAACAUAUUAUCAAGUGGUAUAUUUGUUCUAAUGACUAGAGUGAUAGACUUGAGAAAUGAAGGGCAAAACUAACAACUUAUUCUUGCAUUAGAUACACCUACAAAGGACUACAUAUGAUAGCCAAAGUAGCAAAGAGCCAACGGAACAUGAACUUGUACUCUCUGGGAAUUCAAGAAAAGCCAUGUUCCAGUAUUUGGGAGCUGGGAUUGCAAUGAUGAUCUUCCGUUUACACAGUGCUUUGAGUCAGCAAGACAAGCUAGACUCCUGCGUUACAGCUACUCUGAAGAUCGUGAUCUCUAUGUCACUGGAAUUUAGAAGUUCCUAUGACUUGGGCUGCCUCAGACAAUAUUGUUUAAUAUAAAAGUCUUUCAAAGACUGAAAAUCUUGGGCACUAACUCAAUGGUACAGGGAUGCUGCAUGCUGUGUCCUGCUGAAAUGAAGGAAAAAUUGGAAGACAGGUUAUGAUUGCCAUCAUACUGGAACAAGUCCCAACGGCCUGAAAGUAACUUUUUCUUUUGCAAUUUUAAACAGGCAAAAGGAGGCUACCCACUUGUGAAAGACAGCAAAAAGGAAGGGUGGGUGGUUUGUGAGUGUGAAUAUGAAUAUGAGCAUGAUGUGAAAGAGUCACCAAGCCCUGUGCCUGAUGCUCCUCCACCAAGAAAGGCACCCAAGGCUGUGGAUGAAGAUCUCUACAACAUCUUUCCAGA